ACAGCCACAGGUGUGCUGUCCUCGGGACUGGCGUCCACGUAACCGCCGAGCCUGUGCUUCCUGGGGUGAGGAGGACUCAGCAAGGCUUUUGGCUGGAACUGGGCACCACGAGAGCCCCAGGAGCAGAGACUCGGUGUCCUGUGAAGCCUGGACCCACGAGUCUGCAGCCCUCCCUUUCUCGCCUCCUCACACUGUCUGCCGGGCUCUAUUCAGUCCCUGGUGUCCUAUGACAACCAAGACUGAUCACUCAGCUCUUGGGGUGUUUAUAGUCACUGACGGAUCGAGAUGGCCUCGGAUGGCUCAUGGCACAUGGAGGCUGUGUCCAGGGCACUUGGGGAAGUCCCUGAGGGAAGUGACUUAAGAUCGUGAGUACACAGAAUGGAGUGAGAAGGCUUUGGAUUCCAGCUGAACUGGACUGGAGCAAACACCGAACUCCGGAGUGCAGUGAGUUGUGUGGCAGACCUGCGGUUGCCUUUGGGGCUGACUCCUUCUGCAGCUCGGGGCCACCUGAGCCAAGGUCUUGAAAGGAAGAGCCAGGGGUGUGGCCCUGAGGGCCCCAGGAAGUUCACUCUCUGUGUUGUAAAACCCUGAAGGCCAAACCAAGAAAAAUUUAUUUCAGCAUGUCAAGGUCAGGCCACCCAAGAGAGGCCAGAGCUGAACAGGGUCACAGCUCCCAGAGCUUUAUCUCUGCUUCAGUUGCCACGGCGAAGCCCUCACCAGAAAUGUCUGGACAGUCGUGGUGUUGCUGGGAGGCUGACUCAGCCAUCAGAGCGAGUGGCGGGAGAGCGUGACACAGAGCUGUCCCUUGCUGCACACCAGCAUAGACUCAACCCUGUGAAGGUUGUGCCUCCACCCUGAGCUCCUCUCACCUUCAUGACAGGCACCUUCCAGAUGAGGAAGCAGAGGCACGAAUAACCCAGUGACUGCUCUAGCUGGUAGGUGGCAGGGCUGGGAUACUUAGCCCAGAUCGAUCUGGCUCUGCAGUAAAGUCCAAGCAAUUCACUGACAAAGAGAAACAGAAAUGUGCAGCAGAUGGGACCUUUUGUCACUCCCAGGAAGGAAGAAAUAAACUGCAAGCUGUAAACUGCCAGGAUACAGUCUAAUCCCACCUGCAGCAAUGUUUAGUUUGGCCUGAAUAGAGUUGUUGUUUUUUUUCUUUUAAUGUUUGAGUUAAUGACCAACUUUUAAAAAUAGAGACUUUUCACACAGAAUGCAGAUUUCUGCCUUCCCUUAGGAAACCAGAAGAUCUGGGCAGGCCAGCUGGAGUGACGUAUGACAGCCCCAUCAGAAGGGACAUGAGUCUUCCCGAGUGCCCCCACCCCUGUCAACCUGGAGUUCCUUCACUGGGAAGUUAGUGACCCCCAGACUGCAGAGGGAGGCUGGACCCCGCCCAGGGAAGUCCUUGGGCAGCUGUGAGUCUGUGUUGCCUUCCAGACCCUAAUGGCCAUAUUUGUCUUCGAGGACAAGUGCCAUGGAGUGGGCGGCUGAGACAGUAGGAAAGUGUCCACACAGUUCCAGAGCCGGGGAGUCCGAGUCUGACUGUCAGCAGUGCUGGUGCCUUCGGAGCACUGCCCCAUGCUUGGCGGGCGGAUGGUUGCCUCUCCUGAGUGUCACAUGCUCAUCUCUCUGAGUUGGGUCUGCGUCCUACUCUCUGCUCUUAAGCACACCGCUGAGAUUGGACUAGGUCCACCCUGCUGACCUCAUUUUAUCUUAAUUACUUUAAGAUCUUUUCUCCAAACACAGUCACAUCCAGAAGUACAGGGAAUCGAAGACUUCAAUACAAAUUUGGAGGUGGGGAGAUUAAGGCAGCCCAUUGCAACCAGGUGUGCAUUUCCAUUUGGGAAGACUGGUAUUUUAGGGUAAGGAGCAAUGUUCGUGAUCUUUAUUAAGAAGAGCAGACAAAGCCUGGAGUGGGGGUGCAUUCCUCUAAUCCCAGCACUCUGGGAGGCUGAAGCAGGAGGGCCCAAGUUCAAGACUUACUUUGGCAACUGAGCAAAACCCUGUCUCAAAAGAAAAAAUAAAAGGGCUGGAGAGGUGGCUCAGCCUCCCUGGCUUCAACCCCCAGUACCACCACCACCACAAUCUCAAGAAAAAAAAGAAAAGAAAGCAAAAGCUGACAGUUGUGAGUAUACGCGGAGGUGCUGGGAACAGACUCUCAGGCUCCAGCUGUCCCCAGGCGCCCCUGCGUGGCUUGCUCUAGCCUUAGCCCCCCCGACAGUGCUGGGGAUGAUCACCGCCAUCAAUUCCAGAGGCCCUCAGCCAGCAACACCUUGGCUUCUCGGCUGGGUCAGCCUGAAUGGGCCUGUGUGUGAAGCAUGUGAAUACCCUGCGUAUGUGGAUGCUUUUGUGCCUGGCCUCAAUGGCUGAAGGACCUGCCCUCCAAGAGUUAACUCAUCCCUGGAGCUGGUGAGCACUGGCCCCAGGGGAGUGUGUACCUUCCCACAGCAUCAGUUAGAGCCCCCAAACACCUUUCCUGAACUCUGAUACAUGGGGUUACUCCCCAUCGCCCCAGGGCCAGGCAUCAGCUACCAAGGACCGCUCCAUGCUGAGCCCACUGAACCAUUCCGGUAAACUUGCCUCAGCUGGUGCUUUUCAUGGCCCUGGGUGGCAUGCGCUGCCCAUCCUUUUGGGAAUUACGAGUCACAAUUCACUUUUCAGUGUCACUCACCUCUAACAAUAGCACCUGUGCCUCAAGACAUUCCAUCUCCCCCUGCAGGAUGCCACUUUGGUCACUGCCAGUGCAGCAGGCAGGAGACAGCCUUCACUGGCUGGCUGCCCUUCGGCUGUCAUUCCCGCUUUUCUGCCAGUGUUCCCUGCGCCUCCCAAACAAGCCAGCUAGAUUCCCAUCCUUGUCCCAGGGUGACUUCCAACCGAACAAAAUUAAGUAAGCACAAAAUUGAGUUUUUAUUUUAAAUACAGAGAGGAAAUCAAAGUAGAGACAGGGGACUUAACGAGUGCAACUGAGAUAUUCUUACACUGGCAAAUUCUAUAAAGACACGUGACCACAGGGAACACAUUACCAGGGCCCUUGGCAAGACUCCAGGCCCCAAGGCACAGUAAAUCUGCCUCCAUCUCCCUGGCCAGGGCACUGUCUCCGUGGGUGCCAGGCAGUGCCCAGAGUUGUGACUGAUACAUAGUAGGGGCCGCAUUAAUAAUUAUGCAAUGUCGGGGGCUGGGGAUUUAGCUCAGUGGCAUAAGCACCUGCCUCGAAAGCAGGUGGUCGUGAGUUCGAUCUCCGGGACUGAUUAAAAAAAGAUUAUGCAAUGCAUAAAUAGCUAACAGGCCAGGUGGGCAGAGCAAACCCUCAGGUCCUCACCUCCUCACUAGGUGGUGAGUGGGCGGGGACCCUUAGAGUUGGGUUUCCACUUUAUACUCAGGCCUUCUCAAACAGACACAAUGUUUUUCAUUUAAAUGAGUCUUCAUUCUUGCAGGUGUGGGAGCCAGGACCUUGCUUUAGAACCCCUUGUAGUUCUCUAACGGUUUCACUCUCGGAUGCCAAUUCUAUCUUAUUUCUAAGCUUCUUGCUGGAGCAGGAUGGUUUGAUGGGAUGUCAUAGUGCCCACACAAGGAGAGAGAUAUUGUGUUAACCCAUGAUGUGGAGCUGCACAGACUAGUGAGAGGCUCUUCACUUCCUGCAGACUGAUCUUGGGCCAACCUGCUUAGACUCCUUGAGCCUCAGUUUCCUCAUCUGUGAAACAGGGAUAAUUACAGUAACCAAAUUCCAGAUUAAUGGGAACAGUUAAUGAGAUAAUGCAUGCACACCCUCAGCACAAUGUCUGAUCCCUAGUUAGUGUUCAGUAAGUGGGAGCUGUUAUGGCAAAUGUAAUAACAUUCUCAAAGAUUGCUAACCUUACAAGGCUAAGCUUUUCAGGGUACUCCACCGACCUGGGGGCAGGAUGGAGUCAAUUCUUAAACUAACAUUUUACCGGUUUCUGGAUACUUGUGAAACACAGACAAGGAAUGCUUUAACAUGAACAAGGCACCAUAAACAUUGCUUGGCUUCGGUAGGGUGGUUUCCUAGUGACUAUCAGUGAGCCAGGUCCCUCGGCUUAAAGAAGGAUCUUCCUGAAGGAAACAGUGUUCCUGUGGUCAGCCAAGCAAGAUGGGUUGUGGACCUAGUGAAAACUGUUUACCUGGUGCAGCUUCUGGUGCCCAGGGUGGGGGUUUAAUAUAGUAGACAGACCGUAGGAGCAAAGCGUAAGUGUCCUUGGCAGGCUUGGCCUGAGGAUAUAGUCUGUCCAAAAGCAAGAUUUACACAGAACUCAAAAGGACAAAGAAAAGAAAAGAGAAAGUGAAAGUGAGCGGGGUAAGCAUGGAACAAAGAAGAAAAGAAUGAAGGACAGUGGAAAGACAGUGCUAGGGAGUAAAACAGAUUUAAUUCAGCUGAUCAACUUAAUACUAGCUGAAUUAAAUCUGCACGGUGCUGAGUAUAGGUGGCCCACCUGAGGAAAGCUGCCUGCAUAAAGAGACAUGGAGAGGAAGAGCAGGGCGUGGAGGGUUCUCCUAAGUGUUGUUGUUUGGAGCAAUUGGCUUUCCUGGAAGAGCUUGUCAUGCUAGCUUCUCAGAUAUGAAUUCGGCCAUUAUCAUCAGAGGAGCUCGGGCCUUUGUCACUGAGAAUGGCUGCGGGAUUCUUUGGGGAACUCUGGUCCAUACUUUGAGCAUCGCUUCCUGGUUCUGGAGAGGACGAAUGUUUGCUGUUUAAUCUCCAGGGGAAGCCUACUGCACUGGCUUCCUGACAUGUACUCAACUGCUCUCAUCAUUGGAGGAGCUCAGAACCUCACUGUCACUGAGGAUGGCUGUAAAUCUUCAGGGGAGCCCUAGUCCUUAUUUUGAGUGUCACUUCUUGGCUCCAGUGUAAAACCCUCAACCUACUGGCACAGCCCCUCACCCUGCUGGCACAGACUUCCUAGCUUCUGCUGCUGACUUUUGGGCCUUCCCAGCAUAGAUCUGUAAAACAGACUCACAUGAGUCCUUGUCAUGGGCUCUAGGCCUGCAGUUGGACUUGUGUGGGUCACUGUCAUGGGCUCUAGGCAUUCAACUGGACUCAUGUAGGAAGUGCUGUGGAAUCCAGGCCCUCAGAUGAAUUCUUUAGGGUUGUGGACAGAUUUCCUGCACUUUCUUGUAUUUAACUCUGGGUGACCAUCAAAAAGUAACAUCUGCUAUUUAAUCUUCCAAGGAGGCUCAAUCAACCUCAGAAUCCUCGGUCCAGGGUCCAGGUUAUCAUUUCUGACCCUCCAAGCAGACGUCUGAGUUGAAACCCCACCAGCUGCUGGAAGGUGGGGCAGAACCAUAAGGCAGCUGGGCUGUUGCUGGAAGCCAGACUGUCCACCUGCUUGCUGUACUGCCUCCAGCAAAAGAGAAUCUCAACUGAAAUUUUUGAAAUUCUAAGAGUGAACCAAGGGUGAUGAAGUCAUCAUGUGAGCAGUGAUUUUGAGAGCUCCAAAUUAAACUAAAUUCACAUUUUUGUGCAUGUAUGUGAGUUCUUGUCAAGAGAAAAGAAAUGAAGGAAUUAAAAUGUCUUGAAAAGAUUCCUUUUUAUAAUUAAGCCUUCCUUGUCUGCUUUCUGUUCCCCGUGCUGACACAUUACAGCAAUAAACAGAGCCCGAACGGCAGCACUCUCGCCCGGUGUCAGCCUGGUGCGAAGGAUGAGGAAUCUGCACACAGAACUCCUUGCUGGGGUCAGCUGUUUCCGGGACCUGGGUGUCUCUUUGAACCUGCCCACCGCCCUGAGGAGCCACAGGGAUUAACACACGCUUUUAUUUCUGAACGGCAUCUGCAGUUUCAGCGUCUCCACGGAGUGUGCUCGGGAGAGGAAUUCGCUCUGCCCACCGAGCUAAUCUGAUCGUUGCAGUUGCUCACGUCUCCUUGAGCAAACUGGAGCUGCCCUGAGAGAAGCGAGGUCUUUAGCACACCGUAUUAGGGAGCUCUUUCUGGAAACGUGUGGUUCCUUUAAGCCUGGGUGAAGACAAGGGCUGACCUUCACACACCCGGGCUGUAUGUGGGGACCAGGAAGACACAGUCACAGCCAAAAACUCGCCAGCAGGACAAGUUCACAAACCCAGAAGGAGAGAAAAACAGCGGCUUCAGGUCCUGCCUCUGACUCUCAGUAGCCAGCUGAUCUUGGGCAGGCCUCAGUUUCUUCAUCCGUAAAAUGGGAGAAAUGGGUGCCUCCUAGGUUUCCUCCCCUUUUCCUUCCACUGCAUUCUCUCUCCCUCUGUUCCUUCUCCUUUCUUCUCUGUCAGAAAUACGUAAAACAAGGUGUGUUAAUAAUGCGGGAGAUGAGUUUAGAGCUAUGACUGAGGGCCGUGGAAAUCAAACUAAAUCAGUCUAGAGAAGAUGAUGCCAGCCCUGUGACACCCUCCUGGAGAAGUCUUUGUGUCCCCCCUCCUGUGUGUGGUCCAGCUGUCUGACAGCUGUGAAAUGAUGCCAAGUCUUUGUGGCCAGGCCUGCGGCGGCCUCCACUUGCCCUGUCCUGGAACUCCCUCUGGGCCCUGAGCUGCCACAUAAAAGUCUAAUUACACUAAGCCUCCUGCACUGGGGAGGCCAUACCCGGGCACCGUGGGAGCCACUCACCAUCCCUGCCAGGGCACCUGUCAUGUGAGAGAAGACACCUUGAACCCUCCAGGGAGCCCCUCUGUCAGCUGAACACCACAGAAUGAUCAAAGGUGGAGCCGGUCCUCACCUCGAGGGAUGCCAUUUGAAGCCAUUGCAUUCUGGGAUAAUUUGUGGCACAGCCAGGGUCACCAGGGUUCAAGUUCUUGCUAAUCAGAUUCCUUUGAGGUGGGGGAUUUAGCUCAGCAGGCAUAAGUGCCUGUCUUAUAAGUGACAAGCAUCAGGUCAUGAGUUUGAUCCCGGGUACCAAAACACAAAACAAAAACAGCUUCCUGCAGCUUCACUCUCCUGCCUCCUUAAAUGUUAGUGUAGAUUCCUGUGAUCCGGGGCUCAGAGCAGGGCCCUCGAAGACGCAUCACUGAUGUUUUCCCGCUCUGGUCUCUGCUGGUCGUGUAGAGGGGGCAAAGCAAGGGCCUGCAGCCUGUGUACACUGGAGUGAGCAACUCCCUUCUUAUCCCAGCGAAUCGAAUUAUCUUAAUCAUACUUAAUCCUGUUCUCACGAGGGUAUUUUAAGUCGGAAUGGUAAUUUAUUUGAUUUCCUCUGAAAGUGUUGCCCUGGUGAACCCGUGCAGCUGGCUAAGGAAUGGAAAGACAGACCUCUUCCCUGUCUUUUUCCUCAGUACAUGUCUGUGGUGCAUGAGGUUGACAUUCGCCUUAGGAAAUAGGUCCAGGUAUAAAAUACAUCUGGACUCUUUUUUGUGUUUCGAGUCACAGCAUGUGGAUUAGGUUACUGACACAGUUCCCUCAUCUUCCUCUCCUCUUUUGCUUUGUGGAAGUCCUCUUUCACCCUGCUGUGGGGUCAGCCAUGCCUGCACGGAGGGGAACUUUCACUGCCAAUCUGCUGCCCCAGGGUAGAGCUUGUAGAAUAUGUGCCUUGGCCAGCAGGCUGGGACCCAAAUUUGUGCCUGUUUCCCAUAGGGUGUGGCUCUCCAGUCCACUCCUGGCUCACAACAGCUUCUUUUUACUACUUCUGUAAAUCUUAGUGACCAAAGAUGUUCCAUCAGGCUGUUUGGCUGUGUGUUUUUACAAGAGCAGCUGGGACCCAGGAUCUGGGGCAGAGAAUGAAGCAACAAACUUUGAGUUGCUAAUUAAGUAAUCCAGCAAAUAUCCCUUGAGAACCCACCAAGUGCUAGGCACCAGGCUAAGCACUGAGCCAAAAAUAUUUGAGUCUGAUGCCCAGAUCAUCAACCUAAAAGCUAUCUAGCAUCUACUCAGCUGACUGGCUAAAACAACACAAAUAUACAAUCCCGAGGCUUUAGGACAUAAUAACGCAGUGGGAACUUUUUUGUGCUGCUGGUGGGUGUAUAAAUUGGUUCAGCCACUUUAGAAAACAGAGUCAUCUACAGCUGCACAUUUCUUUCCUAAGUGCACCAGAAGAAAUGCCCAAAAAUGUUUAAAGCUGUGCCAUUUUCAAGACCCAGUAACGGGCGCUUAACCAAAUGUUCAUCAGCUACAGAGUAUACAUCAUGCUGUGCAACACUGUUAGAAUGAGAAUGAAUCAGCCAAUGCCCCAUGCAACAGGACGGGCGAGUGUUGCAGGAAGGUUGUAACGGGAUGAGGGAAUUAGCAUUGUGCUAUAGCCUGGCUAUGGUUGAGUGUGUCCACAACAAAAGUUCAUAUGCUGGAAGUCUGGUCCCCAUGGUAGCAAUACUAUCAGGUAACGGAACCUUCACGACGUGGGGCCUCAUGAAAGGUGGUUAGGUCUUUGGAAUGCUGUCUUGAAAGGGAAUGAAAUAGAUCUUGCAGGACCACAGUGUUAUUGGCUUAGCUUCUAAAUGUCUGCAAAAGUUCCAUAUGUGAAAGGCUCAGGCAGCACAGUGAGGCGGGGUGGAGCCUUUGGGAGGACUGGCCUGCUGGAAGGAAGUUAGGUCAUGGGGUGGAGCCCCACUUUUCUCUCUCCAGGUACCCUAAAGUGCACAGACUCCUCUGCCUUGUGCUCGCCUCUGUGCUAUGCUGCUUCACCACAGCCCCAAAAGCAAAAGGGCCAGGUGACCAAAAACUGAAACCUCUGAAACUGUCACAGUUUCUUCCUUUUUAACUUGACACUGCAGACAGUUUGUUAAUAACGACACUAAACUGAUGGCACACCCAGUUAUUUCCCUUUUCUGUGCUGUUGUAGAUGGAGCAGGGCCGGCCCUUGGGUCCCUCUGCCUUUCUGUCUCACUGUGUGAUCUUGGCUCUGUCUCUUGCCAUUGUGGUGUCAUUGCCAGGAGGCUUGCACCAGACCCUGAGCACAGAGGCUGCUUGAUCUCGGGCUGAAUAGUAAACUCUUUUCUGUCCACAUUGCUUAGCCUCAAGUAUUUUGUUAUAACAACAGCACACACUGAGAUGUGCUUUAUGAUUUCAUUGAUGUGAAUUUUUAAAUGGGCAACCCCUGUGGGUGGGUGUAAGUCAGGAGGUGACACCCUGGGGAGUUAGUGAGUAGGAGGAUAGCAGUGGUGAUGGCCGGAUGUCCACUUUUCUGGCUGAGAUGCUGCUUACAUGACGUGUUCCCUUGGUAGAAUCCAGCCCACGGUUUACUUAUAUAGUAAAUGUUUUUUUUUUUUUUUUUUUUGGUCUUUUUGAGACAGGGUCUUGCUAUGCAGUUCAGGCUGGCCUUGAGCUCACUUUGUAGCUCAGGCUGGUCUCGAACUCGCAACGAUCCUCCCACCUCGGCCUCCCGAGUGCUGGGAUUACAGGCGUGAGCCACCACACCUGGCUAGUAAAUGUAUUUUACUGGUAUACUUUAAUAAAAGAUUACAAAAAUGUAAUCCAAACUCCAUCAGAUUGUUUUGGCUUUUAAUGCUUAGUUCCUCAUCUACAAAAUAAGAAUAAUAUUUCCUUGGUGUUAAGAAUUAUAUGAGAUUUAAUUAUCAUAAAUAUGUUCAUUACCUAAAACACACUGAAGGCUUCAUAAAUGGCUGCUGUCAUUGUUACUGUUUUUGUGAUGGAUAUUUGUUUUUCUUAGACUUAUGUUACUACAAGUGCCUACUCUGGGAAAAAUGUCUUUAUUCCUCAUAUGAGAAAGUACAAAACAGCCCUAAAAAAGGCCUUUCUAUGGGUUGAAAUUAUUUUUCUGGUAUGUUUCAAGUCACGGUGGAAAAUGAAAAUAUCUCUCACUUUUGGCAAUGCAACUUUUCUUCUGUGAUCCUCAAAUCCCUUCUGCUAAACGCCCUCUGAGGCCGAAGCUUUGGGGAGAGAAUGUCUCACUGCCUGGAACAAAUGUUGUCUUCCUUUCUCCACACAUUUAGGGAACGUGACUGAGAAUGGAUUUCUCAAUUCUUCAGGAGCCUGAGACAUGUGAUAGUGUCUACCUCUCAGCCAGGAUUUCCCCUAGCUUUUCAGGAGGUCAUGUAUUGUGAAAGAGUCUAGCAGUUGCCGCCCUGCCCUGCUGAGGCCUGCUUGCGACCCUAGGCCUCUGGAGAACUUUGCCGUGCCUCCCGGCUGGGAGCAGGACCAAAGCCUUUACACUCUGGAUAUUACAUUACAUCAACUUAGAAAGUGUAAUCCUGGACUUAGCCACUGGCGGCUGAAAACCAGACACAGCUGCUCACAUCUGGGAGAGGAGAGAGACCUUGGAGAAGUGUCCCAGAUUGCUGGGAAACCCUAGAAACAUCUGUGGGACCCCAGUCACUCUGGGAAGGGACGGUGCUGGGUGGUGCUAGGUGGUGAGACAGUUUCUCUGCAGACACCCAGACUGGAGACGCUGAAAUAUCCUGUUGAUAACCCUGGGCAGACGUGUCUCUAAAGUUCAGGCAGGUCUCCUAUGAUGUAGCCAGGAGACACAGGGUGCUUAUCUGCCCUGUGGGACAUCAUGUCGCUCUUCCCCAGAGGGGCAAUGAGUCAGGCUCCCCUUUCCUGUGUGUCCUGCAACACUUGCCAAGUGGCCCCAGUCUCUUAUUUCAUCAGAGAGGAGAACCAGGAAACCCACACAGCCACUUAUUUUGUGGUGAGGAAGAGCAAAUGGCAUUCGUAGAGUUUGUGGGUGGAUGAAAUGUCCAGAGGGCAAUUGCAUACUAUGAAUUAAAAAUCUUUAAGGAAUGUAGCCCUUCUGAUCUUAGGCACUGGUCCUAAAGAGUUCUGACUAGGGCACAAAUUUAUGUAUGAUUCUUUAGCAGCUAACUGAAAUAUUUGGUGAGUGCCUUGUAAGUAGUGAAGACUUAAUAUAUAUUUGGCACCCUGCUAAGAUGUGAUUGAGGCUGCUCUGAGCAAGCCCAUGAGAUACUACCUGCGCUAUGCCCAUUUUACAGAGGAGGAAAUAAGGUCUUCAGGCUAAUUAGCUGCCAAAGUCUCGGAGCCCUUUGGAAGUAGAGCUGGGUUUGUGUGCGGCCUCUAAGCAGAGGGAUUGAAGUCCUGGCCUUCCUGUCCUGUUUCAUUGUCCAGGCGCUGUGCCAGGCAGGAGUCAGGCAGGCGCAGCCUGCUUUGUCUGAGCUUUCCGAAUUCAAGGGAGGACGACUCUAAGCAGAAUCUACACAUGUUCAGUGUCACCGAGAGAAUGGUGCAGAGCACCACAGGAGCACAUCCCUUGGAGCUUCCCAGAACCAUCCAUUAGCAGCCCGGCAAGACAGGAAAUAACCUAAAUGCCUGGCCAUUAGGGUUUGGGUAGAUAAAUGACAUUAUGUCCGCUCGUUGGAAUAGGGAGCAGAAUUAAAAUAAAUGUCAUAGGGCCAUGUGUAUUGACAUGAAAAUAUGUUCUUGUCACAUUAUUAAAGGAACAGAGUGAUUAUAAUAAAAGAAAAUCCUGUUUUUGUGUUUGA